AUUGAACGCUGGCGGCAUGCUUUACACAUGCAAGUCGAACGGUAACAGGCCGCAAGGUGCUGACGAGUGGCGAACGGGUGAGUAAUGCAUCGGAACGUGCCCAGUCGUGGGGGAUAACGCAGCGAAAGCUGCGCUAAUACCGCAUACGAUCUAUGGAUGAAAGCGGGGGACCGUAAGGCCUCGCGCGAUUGGAGCGGCCGAUGUCAGAGUAGGUAGUUGGUGGGGUAAAGGCUCACCAAGACAACGAUCUGUAGCUGGUCUGAGAGGACGACCAGCCACACUGGGACUGAGACACGGCCCAGACUCCUACGGGCGGCAGCAGUGGGGAAUUUUGGACAAUGGGCGCAAGCCUGAUCCAGCAAUGCCGCGUGCAGGAAGAAGGCCUUCGGGUUGUAAACUGCUUUUGUACGGAACGAAACGGUCCUGGUUAAUACCCGGGGCUAAUGACGGUACCGUAAGAAUAAGCACCGGCUAACUACGUGCCAGCCGCCGCGGUAA
rnacentral:rRNA from 1 species